rnacentral:rRNA from 2 species
UUGUCUCAAAGAUUAAGCCAUGCAUGUCUCAGUACAAGCCGAAUUAAGGUGAAACCGCGAAAGGCUCAUUAAAUCAGUUAUGGUUCCUUAGAUCGUACCCACAUUUACUUGGAUAACUGUGGUAAUUCUAGAGCUAAUACAUGCAAACAGAGCUCCUACCGGAAACGGAAAGAGCGCUUUUAUUAGAUCAAAACCAAUCGGUGGCGGUCUCCGUCAUCGUACAACUUGGUGAAUCUGAAUAACUUUACGCUGAUCGCACGGUCUUGCACCGGCGACGCAUCUUUCAAAUGUCUGCCUUAUCAACUGUCGAUGGUAGGUUCUGCGCCUACCAUGGUUGUAACGGGUAACGGGGAAUCAGGGUUCGAUUCCGGAGAGGGAGCCUGAGAAACGGCUACCACAUCCAAGGAAGGCAGCAGGCGCGCAAAUUACCCACUCCCGGCACGGGGAGGUAGUGACGAAAAAUAACGAUACGGGACUCAUCCGAGGCCCCGUAAUCGGAAUGAGUACACUCUAAACCCUUUAACGAGGAUCAAUUGGAGGGCAAGUCUGGUGCCAGCAGCCGCGGUAAUUCCAGCUCCAAUAGCGUAUAUUAAAGUUGUUGCGGUUAAAAAGCUCGUAGUCGAAUCUGUGUCCCGCGCCGCCGGUUCAUCGUUCGCGGUGUUAACUGGCGUGCCGCGGGACGUCCUGCCGGUGGGCUUAGCCCGAGAGGGCGGCCCAACUCAAUCCCGCCGCGGUGCUCUUCAUUGAGUGUCGAGGUGGGCCGGCACGUUUACUUUGAACAAAUUAGAGUGCUUAAAGCAGGCUAAAACUUCGCCUGAAUACUGUGUGCAUGGAAUAAUGGAAUAGGACCUCGGUUCUAUUUUGUUGGUUUUCGGAACCCCGAGGUAAUGAUUAAUAGGAACGGAUGGGGGCAUUCGUAUUGCGACGUUAGAGGUGAAAUUCUUGGAUCGUCGCAAGACGGACAGAAGCGAAAGCAUUUGCCAAAAACGCUUUCAUUGAUCAAGAACGAAAGUUAGAGGUUCGAAGGCGAUCAGAUACCGCCCUAGUUCUAACCAUAAACGAUGCCAGCUAGCGAUCCGCCGACGUUCCUCCGAUGACUCGGCGGGCAGCUUCCGGGAAACCAAAGCUUUUGGGUUCCGGGGGAAGUAUGGUUGCAAAGCUGAAACUUAAAGGAAUUGACGGAAGGGCACCACCAGGAGUGGAGCCUGCGGCUUAAUU